ACCAGGAGAUUCUAGGCCGAAAC
rnacentral:snRNA from 1 species